GCAAGUCGAGCGAACGGACGAGAAGCUUGCUUUUCUGAUGUUAGCGGCGGACGGGUGAGUAACACGUGGAUAACCUACCUAUAAGACUGGGAUAACUUCGGGAAACCGGAGCUAAUACCGGAUAAUAUUUUGAACCGCAUGGUUCAAAAGUGAAAGACGGUCUUGCUGUCACUUAUAGAUGGAUCCGCGCUGCAUUAGCUAGUUGGUAAGGUAACGGCUUACCAAGGCAACGAUGCAUAGCCGACCUGAGAGGGUGAUCGGCCACACUGGAACUGAGACACGGUCCAGACUCCUACGGGAGGCAGCAGUAGGGAAUCUUCCGCAAUGGGCGAAAGCCUGACGGAGCAACGCCGCGUGAGUGAUGAAGGUCUUCGGAUCGUAAAACUCUGUUAUUAGGGAAGAACAUAUGUGUAAGUAACUGUGCACAUCUUGACGGUACCUAAUCAGAAAGCCACGGCUAACUACGUGCCAGCAGCCGCGGUAAUACGUAGGUGGCAAGCGUUAUCCGGAAUUAUUGGGCGUAAAGCGCGCGUAGGCGGUUUUUUAAGUCUGAUGUGAAGCCCACGGCUCAACCGUGGAGGGUCAUUGGAAACUGAAAAACUUGAGUGCAGAAGAGGAAAGUGGAAUUCCAUGUGUAGCGGUGAAAUGCGCAGAGAUAUGGAGGAACACCAGUGGCGAAGGCGACUUUCUGGUCUGUAACUGACGCUGAUGUGCGAAAGCGUGGGGAUCAAACAGGAUUA
rnacentral:rRNA from 1 species